UAUUGGACAAUGGAGGCAACUCUGAUCCAGCCAUGCCGCGUGAAGGAAUAAGGCCCUAUGGGUUGUAAACUUCUUUUAGACGGGACAAAACCCCUUUACGUGUAAAGGGUUGAUGGUACUGUCAGAAUAAGCAUCGGCUAACUUCGUGCCAGCAGCCGCGGUAAUACGAAGGAUGCAAGCGUUAUCCGGAAUUAUUGGGUUUAAAGGGUGCGUAGGCGGACUAAUAAGUCAGUGGUGAAAGCCUGCAGCUUAACUGCAGAAUUGCCAUUGAUACUGUUAGUCUUGAGUACAGUUGAGGUAGGCGGAAUGUGUCAUGUAGCGGUGAAAUGCUUAGAUAUGACACAGAACACCGAUUGCGAAGGCAGCUUGCUAAGCUGUAACUGACGCUGAGGCACGAAAGCGUGGGGAGCAAACA
rnacentral:rRNA from 1 species